GGCUCAGGAUGAACGCUGGCGGCGUGCUUAACACAUGCAAGUCGAACGAUGAUCCCCAGCUUGCUGGGGUGAUUAGUGGCGAACGGGUGAGUAACACGUGAGUAACCUGCCCUUAACUCUGGGAUAAGCCUGGGAAACUGGGUCUAAUACCGGAUAUGACUUCUCAUCGCAUGGUGGGGGGUGGAAAGCUUUUUGUGGUUUUGGAUGGACUCGCGGCCUAUCAGCUUGUUGGUGAGGUAAUGGCUUACCAAGGCGACGACGGGUAGCCGGCCUGAGAGGGUGACCGGCCACACUGGGACUGAGACACGGCCCAGACUCCUACGGGAGGCAGCAGUGGGGAAUAUUGCACAAUGGGCGCAAGCCUGAUGCAGCGACGCCGCGUGAGGGAUGACGGCCUUCGGGUUGUAAACCUCUUUCAGUAGGGAAGAA
rnacentral:rRNA from 1 species